GGUGAUGUGGCAUAGUGGUCGUGCAUAGGAUUGCAAAUUCUAACACAACGGUUCAAAUCCGUUCAUCACCU
rnacentral:tRNA from 1 species